CCGCCCCCGCCGCGCGCCCGCGCCGCGCGGCUGCAGCAGCCUUCGGGGCACGGCCCAACCCGCGACAGCUCCCUGGGGUCCGGGGAAGGUGCCCAGUCCCAACUGUUUACCCGUGGUCAACUGCUGUCCAGAAGCAGACGAUCCUCCUGACAUAUCAUCAGAAGGUCAUAUAGGAGCCUAACACCAGGUCACGAUGCUUACGUCAUUCCCCUCACUUCGUCUCAUCGUGUAGUCAUUUUAUCAUUUCACAUCAUCACAAGAAGAAAGUGCAAGUUCGUGAUGCUUCCAUCAGCCUGAGGCUGGGCCAUGUGAUCGGCUGGAGCUCCUGAGUGAGGCCUGCGAUUCUGAAGUUUAGACAUUCUGUGACUGGGAUUUCUCAGCUGACCAUCAAAAGAGCAUGGAGCACUGGGUGUUGUGCACAAACAAUGAAUCAUGGAACACUUCAUCUAAAACUAAUGAUGUAAUGUAUGGGGAUUAACAUAAGAAUAAAAAAUAAAUUAAUUAAUUUAAAAAUAAAUAAAUAAAUAAUAAAAAAAUAAAAAAAAAGAGCAGGGGCCGAGCAAAGCAGAUGAACUGGGGUGUGGAAUGGUUAAACUUGCAGGCCCAAAAUACCCAGGACAGAACCGGAGAUUCAUUCUAAACUUUAAGUCCCUGCAUUCCGUGGUCUCCUAUCUUUCCAUGAGGUACAGUGUUGCGUGAGGACUCUGUCAAGGAAAACAGAGGCGUGGCCUCAAUUACAACCGUUCCCUUUGCAGAGAAAGGGCUGCAGGACUUUUUUUUUUUUUUUAAUUAAGAGAGUGAGACUGGAAGAAAGAAAGCAGUGCUGAGCAGAGCUGGGCGACUGGGCACUCCAUUUUUCUGAAAUGAUGGUGCAGAUUCCUAAUGCCACUGGCCUCAAGACAGACUUAUUUGGGGGCGCCUGGGUGGCUCAGUUGGUUAAGCGACUGCCUUCGGCUCAGGUCAUGAUCCUGGAGUCCCGGGAUCGAGUCCCGCAUCGGGCUCCCUGCUCGGCAGGGAGUCUGCUUCUCCCUCUGACCCUCCUCCCUCUCAUGCUCUCUGUCUCUCAUUCUCUCUGUCUCAAAUAAAUAAAUAAAAUCUUAAAAAAAAAAAAAAAGACAGACUUACUUGUUAAACCAGAGACCUGCAGCCAUACUUCCCUCAUUGUUGAAAUGAAACACUGAAAGCUUCCUCUAAUGCAAAUCCCACGAAAGACAAUCCAAGUCAACUGCCCUAAAGAUUAUGGCUUAUAAACUUCUAGAGGCGAUAAGCUACACACACAUAUGUAAUAAAGUGUAUCUUGUAAGAGUGUGGGAGAGAGUGUGUGUGUGUGUGUAUGUGUGUGUGUUAGAGAGAGAGACACCUCAUAAUAGCAAAGCUUUCUGCAGGUUCAAAUUUCAGUAGAAGUCAAAACUUCAGUUCAUCUUUGAGCAGAGAUGAUUCCUCUGUUCUGGGGAAAUCUCUUGAACAGGCCUUUUGGUUAUGCAGGUGUGAAGCCUAGACCACUUGGAAACAAAGAUAUUUAGGGAAGAGCUGUGUAAUAACGGGC